CAUCUACACAACACUGUAGGUGGUGCACCCAGCAGAGCAGCUAUCAUUGGGAAAAUACACGCUUGAGCUCUUGCCUCGUCCCCCGCUCCUCUGCGCCUCACGCAAGCUGCAGCGCGGACGCGCACCGUACUUGGUCGUAUUAUUCUGCUUUCUCUAUCUUCGACGGAUCCCUCACAGGCAGACACGUAUACAUCCACAUCCAGAAGCGUCAGCUUUUGCCGUUUUUACGUCUCGUUGUUAUUAAGUAGUCCUCGGCUGAGAGGCGCCAUCGCGCGCACGUGUGUUGUAUCGCACCCAACGAGCAAGUGCACAUUUCUCUGCUGCCGCCGCUUCUUUUUUCACUUUUCGUUUGGCUUUGGCCGCGGCCGAGAAGACAUGAUGGAGGGCAAUGCGUCGGAGGCACACGUACACAGCGGCAUGGCGAUGGGGCUGCAGGAGAGACCGCCGCUGGAGCUGGCUUCGCACGCCUCUGAAGUGUCCUGCCUCACCCUCAAUGACAACUACGACAUGUGGAACGCGUCCAUGUACCCCAACCUUAACAGCGGCUUCGAUGCUAGUCUCACGAGCGCCACCACUCCCGAUGCCACCGCUGCCUGGUUUGCACCAGCAAUGCGUCCGCAGCGGAAACAACAGCUCUCGCACCAGAUGAUGCCGCUUCCUGCGCGCAGUGAGCAGACGACGAGUGACAUUGACUCGGAAGUCGUUCUCUGGGAUCGGCCACCAACACAGGAAGUACUCACUCCACCCGCUGCCUCGGGCUUGUAGCCUACGUCACCUGAGGUGAAAGCCACACACAGAAGCAGCGGUGACAUCACAGACGUGGAGGAGAUGUGCGGCAAGGAGUGUAUCAAGGGCAGACUGCAUGCGCUGUCGCCUCGUAGCAGCGCCGGCCCCACCAGCCCUUCCCCUCAAAGCAGCGCCACAGGCUCGAAGGCCGGCACGACAGAGUUGCCACCGUGAACCAGAAGUUACGUGGCUUUUGUUUUGCGACGGCGGGGUCAAGCGAUAUCGAGUGAGUUUGCAUGCCUAAACGGUGCGGCCACGCGUACCUCUCUGUGUUUUGUUGGUAUUGCGUCUUCUUUUGUUUUUCCCUCCUUUUCGGUUUGUACGGCGCCUGCCGUUUGGUCCCUCACAACUUUCUGCUGCGCCAUGCAUGCCUUAUCCAAG
rnacentral:misc_RNA from 1 species